GGAUGUGAGGGCGAUCUGUCACCCCAUUGUUCGCCAGGGUUGAUUCGGCUGAUCUGGCUGGCUAGGCGGGUGUCCCCUUCCUCCCUCACCGUUCCAUGUGCAUCCCUCCCGAGGUUGCGUGCUUGGUGAAAGAGGAUGGCGUCCCAGGUAUAGAAGGAGUGUACCGAGGUCUCCAGUCUUUGGUCCCGAGUAUACGAAGU
rnacentral:snRNA from 1 species